rnacentral:rRNA from 1 species
AACUUUCAACAAUGGAUUCUCUUGGUUCUUGGCAUCGAUGAAGAACGCAGCGAAAUGCUAUAAGUAAUGUGGGAUUGCAGAAUUCCGUGAAUCAUCGAAUCUUUGAAACGCACAUUGCGCCCCCGUGGUAUUCCGGGGGGCAUGCCUGUUCGAGCGUCAUUAGCAACCCCUCAAGCAUCG